rnacentral:rRNA from 1 species
AUGGCUCUGCUCGUAGUGCUUUCCCUCGUCACCUUUUUCUGCUCCAACAGACGGCGAGCGGCGCAGAGCUCGUGGCGGCAGGGCGUGGUCGACAUCGAGCUCGGGCACGGCAGGUGCGUCGCUGCCACCGCCGCGGAGCUCGACGAGGCCGUCCUGGCCACGUGCUCAACGACGGUGUACUCCUCGUCGACCCAGCAUCAGGCGGCAGCUACCGGUGAGCGGACUGCAAAGGAGGAGGAGCGCGGGUGCGCGGUGUGCCUGGCGGAGUACGCUGACGGCGACGAGCUGCGGGUGCUGCCCGGCUGCGCGCAUGCGUUCCACCGGCGGUGCGUGGACCAGUGGCUCCGGCAUCGGCCCAGCUGCCCGCUGUGUCGCACGUCGCCCCAGAGCACCACCGGUGCAUGCUAA